rnacentral:misc_RNA from 1 species
AGAGGCUCGAGAAAGGGCAGCUGCAGAUGCUAGAGAAAGGGCAGCUGCUGCUGCAAGGAUGAACCAACAAAAGAAUGAUGAUGAUCUUGAAUCCUUUUUCAAUAUGGGUUCUAGAGCCAAUAGUACACCAAAGACAAGAACAAGUUCUGUUAAUGAGACUUCAUUUGCUUCACAGUUCCAGAACAAGGCAGGUGCUGGAGGGCCUAAACCAACAUUUUCAUCUACCACAACCUCCUCCAACAGGACAAAGGCAUCUUCAACAACAAGCUUUGCUGAUGAUCUCUCUUCAAUAUUUGGAGCUGCCACUUCAUCUGGAGAUUUCCAAGAGGUUGAAGGGGAAACCGAAGAAAGAAGAAGAGCUAGACUGGAACGUCAUCAACGAACUCAGGAGCGUGCGGCCAAAGCUUUGGCUGAAAAGAAUCAACGUGACCUUCAAGUUCAGAUGGAGCAGCAGGAAAGACACAGAAUAUCUGAGAGCCUAGAUAUUGAAAUCAAGCGAUGGGCUGCUGGGAAAGAAGGAAAUCUGCGUGCAUUGCUAUCAACUAUGCAAUAUGUGCUUUGGCCUGAAU